rnacentral:rRNA from 1 species
UGGGGAAUAUUGCACAAUGGGGGAAACCCUGAUGCCGCGACGCCGCGUGAAGGAAGAAGUAUCUCGGUAUGUAAACUUCUAUCAGCAGGGAAGAUAGUGACGGUACCUGACUAAGAAGCCCCGGCUAACUACGUGCC